rnacentral:rRNA from 1 species
AGCUCUCAAAGUGUAUAAAAUUAUUGCUGCGGUUAAAAAGCUCGUAGUUGGAUCUGUGCCACGGGACUGGGUCCAUCUUCGGAUGCGUACUCAGCUCCCGGGCUUUUUGCCGGUUUUCCCGUCGUAGCCUUUACUGGUGGCGGCGGGUGGCUGGCGAGUUUACUUUGAGAAAAUCAGAGUGCUCAACACAGGCGUUUCGCUUGAAUGAUUGUGCAUGGAAUAAUAGAAAAGGAUUUCGGUCCUCUUUUAUUGGUUUUGUGGACUGAGAUAAUGGUUAACAGGGACAAACGGGGGCAUCCGUAUCGCGACGUGAGAGGUGAAAUUCUUGGACCGUUGCGAGACGCCCUACUGCGAAAGCAUUUGCCAAGAAUGUCUUCA